rnacentral:tRNA from 1 species
GGCCCGUUAGUCUAGUGGUUAGGACUCCGGCCUCUCACGCCGGUAGCACGGGUUCGAAUCCCGUACGGGCUA